UUUUAAUUUUCCUUUAAGAUUUAGAAAGUAGAAAAACAAAAAAGUUCGGGAUGAAAUUUUGGAUGGCUACUAAAAUCUUCAAAUUUGUAUUUUACAAAAUGAGGGGAAAUAACACGUUUCGUUCUUAGGUUUCAUUUCAUCUUCUAUUAAAAAAAAAAAAAAGUUAUAAUUAUCAUCAUUUCGUAGGGAAGCCUAUGAUAUUCAAUUGCCCAUGCUUACUCCAUAUACCAACAUGAUGCUCUUGUCUUCCAUCUGAUCUGUUUCUCUUCUUGCAAACCUUUUCACAAAAACAUGCAUUGUUCUUUUGACUCGUCCAUUGUAAUUUACAUUCUAACC
rnacentral:lncRNA from 1 species